UUUUGCGAUAUAUUGAUCAAAUAGUUCGUGAGACGGGGAAGGAAACCAAAAAAACUGGUUCAUUAAAUAAGAAGAGAGUAUAGUUUCUCUGUUAGUCGUAUAGCAAAACCUUCGUUAUUGUGGACGUUGAUUCUUGAUGACGCUAGGCUGAGAGGUCUUGAUGAGGGUAAGGAUCCUGUGUCACUGUAAUCCAUGGAGAGCCCCCAAAUCACCACCAACAUCGCCUAUAGAACAAUUGGAAAGCGGAAUACCAUUUACGUAUUGUAAAUACUAUCAUUUAUUCAGCAUAAGAAGUAUGUAAGAAGACUUGAGAUUUAUGGAGGUGAGAAAAAAUCAUCACUGAUAAAAUUGAGCCUCCUUGAGACUGCGUUGCCUGCUGCUGCUGCUGAUGGUGAGUAAGUAGAAGGAUGACAAGAAGCGGAGGCAUAUUGAGACGUUGGUGUAUGCACGUACGUGGACCUUGGCUAUGUGUAAUUGCAUAUUCGGCCUGUUUUUUUGGUGCAAUUUGUUAGUUUAGAGCGUCUUGUGGUGGUCGAUUUGUGAAUUGAGAAAUUAAUCCAGCGUGCCAUUACUAUAUAAUGAAAGAUGUAGCAAUUUGUAUACAUAGUAAUUGUUAUGCAAGGGAUUCCUAGAACAAUAAAUGAGGAUAAGGUUGCAAUAGUUUAUUACUGGUUCAUUAAACUAGAGCGAGACUAGGCAUUUCUUGGAUUGUUUUACACGUAUAUUUAGGUGUAUAGCACUCUGUUUGUAGGACAGGGUAAAGAAGAGGAAGCAACAAUAAUCGUGGUCAGCUCAUGAAUGAGCCAGAUAUUAUGCAAAUAUAUA